AUGGGUUGAUUUGGGCGGGAACGCGAUGGCUUCGUGCCCGGCAAGAUCAGCGCCAAUCCAUCCCAUCGACAAGGCAUCGAUUCACAGGAUCUGCUCCGGCCAGGUGAUUCUAGAUCUUGCCACCGCCGUCAAGGAGCUCGUCGAGAACAGCCUCGAUGCUGGCGCCACCAGCAUUGAGGUCAAGCUCAAGGAGCACGGAGGGGAUGCGAUUGAGGUCUCGGACAAUGGGUCUGGCGUCUCCUCCGAUAACUACCAGGGACUUACGCUCAAGUAUCACACGUCGAAACUCUCAGAUUUUUCCGACUUGCAGUCUUUGACGUCGUUUGGAUUUCGCGGGGAGGCUUUGAGCUCCCUCUGCUCGCUGGCCGACGUAAGUAUUCAUACAAGGACCAAAGAGGACGAAACGGGAACUCGUAUAUCUUACAACCGCGCUGGUCUCAUCGUUUCUAAAGAGACUGCCGCUCGCCAAGUCGGGACUACUGUGACCGUCUCAAAGCUGUUCAGUCCGCUCCCCGUGCGGCACAAGGAGUUUUUGCGAAACGUGAGGCGGGAGUACAGCCGCAUGAUCGCCAUUUUGCAAGCUUAUGCACUGAUUUCCAAAAACGUUCGCCUGGUGUGCACGAACUUGGUUGGCAAAAGCAGUCGCUCCACGAUUCUACGCACACAGGGUGGCUCUGUCAGGGAAAACAUCGUCACCAUCUUUGGUCCCAAGACGAUGGCGUGCUUGGAUCCUGUGGACAUCAGCUUGCCCGAGGACUUAAGCAUCGAAGGCUUCGUUUCGAAGCCGGGGUCCGGCUCUGGCAGAGGAUCGAGCGACCGCCAGUUUUUCUUCGUCAAUGGACGACCGGUGGACUUGCCAAAGUUUAGCAAGCUGCUAAACGAGCUCUAUAAAUCUUUUAACUCACAGCAGUACCCGAUGGCUGUGCUCAACUUUCGGCUUCCAACAACAGCGUACGACGUGAAUGUAACUCCGGACAAACGCAAGCUCUUUCUUCACUCGGAAAGCUCGUUCAUGGACGGUCUUAGGAACGCUCUUGGUAACUUAUACGCUCCCAACAAGUACACGUACGCGGUCCAUGAGGUGGAGGAGCAGAAGUCCUAUAUGGCGGACUUGCAAACUCAGGUAGAUAUCGAGGCUGGAGUUGAAGAAGUUGGAGCUAGUGAUGAAGAACAGAAUGAAGAUGAAGAUGACGAAGCGGAGCCAGAAGUUUCGAAGCCUCUGGACUUCUUCGCUUUUUCUCAUGAGGAUGUGAGCAUCAAAACAUCUGUGAGGCCGGCCAGGGUGGCACUUGCGGAUAAGAAAUGUUCCGUCCAGGGGAAGCUGACUGGAUUUGUUCCGCAAAAAAGAAGAACUGAAGACUCCAAAGAGCUGCUUAGUGAAGAACCAGUGCUCAAGAGACGCGCAACGACGAUGGAACUCAAAGCUCCUCCAAAUGCUUUUCCGAAGGAGAAAAACUUCGAGACUGCUAGACCGGCUGAUCACUCGUCGAAUCCACAGAAUAGAUCGGCGACAGAUGGUGAGGCUCUUGGUGAAGAAUGUGGAGGCCUUCUAAGUGAAGCGCCAUUGCUGAAGAAGUGUGCAAAGGUGGGACUUGUGCCGAAGUACUUUGCUCCCAAACAACAGGACUCUUCUGUGCAAUGUCCGAAGCCUGGUCGAAUCAGCGAGCUGCCGAAAAAUCCUGUUACUCUUGAAUCUGACGACGAUGAGGAGGAUUCCAGACCUUCCGAAGUUCAGGUUUUGCAUACUAAGGAUCAAGAUAAGUCGCCCGAGCCUCCUCAUACUCCCGCUGAAAAGGCGAAAUGUUGCAGCGGGACUAGAUAUAAGCGCGAUAGCUUGUUAUCCGAGGAGGUGAAUCCCGUAGCAUCCACGGAAAUCCGAGAGGUCGAAGAUGACGAAACCGAAAAAAGCAUGGACAGGGCCGAAGCGUGUGCGAGAGAACUUAGCUUCGAUAUUGAGAAAGUGCGGAGCAGGAUACGAAGAGGUUUGUUUCAAUACAACAAAAACUUCUCCGCCAAAAGUGCGAAAGGAAGGUCCUUCAAAGCGGCCACUUUAAGUCUCGAAGGCCCAGUUCAAGAUAAAGAGGCAGCGUUGGCCUCAGCAACGAAAGAACUCGAGCGCUCUUUUCGGAAAGGCGAUUUUAAUCGCAUGAAGAUACUUGGUCAGUUCAACCUUGGAUUUAUUAUUGCGAGGCUGGACUCUGAUUUGUUUAUUAUCGAUCAGCAUGCGUCUGACGAAAAGUAUAACUUUGAGCGGUUGUCCAAGUCCACAGUCUUAAACCGGCAACCUCUUCUCAGGCCAAUGCCGCUACAUUUAUCUUCAGCGGAGGAAAUCACCAUCUCGACACACAUGGAAGUAUUCAGGCAAAAUGGCUUCGAUUUUACUGAGCAAGAGGACGCGCCUCCCGGGCAAAGGAUUCUCUUGUCUGCCGUCCCAUUCAGCAAAAAUGUUACCUUUGGCGUCUCAGAUGUCCAAGAGCUAGUGUCGCUCUUAUCGGAAGAUUAUGGGAGCAGCUCCUCCCAUCUCGUCCAGCCAUCGCGGGUGCGCUCAAUGCUCGCUUCACGCGCCUGCCGGUCGUCGAUUAUGAUCGGCGAUGCCUUGAGUAAGAAAGAAAUGGAAAAGGUUGUGAGGCAUCUUGCAGACUUGGACGCGCCUUGGAACUGUCCGCAUGGACGUCCCACCAUGCGGCAUCUGUAUGAUCUAAACGCCAAGAAAAAGGCCUUGCUGUCACCGUGAUAACCUGAGAUCACAGCUGCAAAUGGCUAAUAGAAGGUUUGCGAUUAUAAAAGGACUCUCUUCUCGAGUAAACUUACAUAUGUCAGAGAUAUAAAUCUAUGAAUCUUCUCUUCCAGAUGUGCAAGAAUAAGUGUCGCUUCAUGGACGUCGCACCAUUGUAUGGUCUAACGAAGGCUUCGUUGUCACGGUGAUAUAUCCAAGCGGGCACUAAAUUCUUAAGAGACGAGAUUUAUAAACAAAGCAUCACCUUCCAUGGAAACAAUUCAGUAUGGAAUGGUACCCAGGCCUUCUCCAUCGUGAAUCAGGCUCUCGGUAAGCCAGUAGCCAUCCCAGCUCCCUCCAACCAUCUGGAAAACUUUCGGGUUAAGCUUUGAGAAGCAUUGAAGAAAAACCAGUCACCUGGACGAGAGUAAACUCGAAAGUCCCCUCUUCGUCAGGACGAGCACCCUGGAUCCAUAUUCUCUCCUUAAGCGAAUGCUGCAAAGCAAAAGAAUCUUCAUCAUAAGAAGCGAAAGAGAAGCCAUACCUCUGACACUCGUAAGCUACUCAAUGUGCGUCUCUCCUUGUGACCGAGGAGCACUCUGUAAGUUUGAUGAUGAUAAAUGCGUCUAAAUCUUUCAAACUA